rnacentral:rRNA from 1 species
CAGCUAGUUGGUGAGGUAACGGCUCACCAAGGCGACGAUCAGUAGCUGGUCUGAGAGGAUGAUCAGCCACAUUGGGACUGAGACACGGCCCAAACUCCUACGGGAGGCAGCAGUGGGGAAUAUUGGACAAUGGGCGCAAGCCUGAUCCAGCCAUGCCGCGUGAGUGAUGAAGGCCCUAGGGUUGUAAAGCUCUUUUGUGCGGGAAGAUAAUGACGGUACCGCAAGAAUAAGCCCCGGCUAACUUCGUGCCAGCAGCCGCGGUAAUACGAAGGGGGCUAGCGUUGCUCGGAAUCACUGGGCGUAAAGGGUGCGUAGGCGGGUCUUUAAGUCAGGGGUGAAAUCCUGGAGCUCAACUCCAGAACUGCCUUUGAUACUGAAGAUCUUGAGUUCGGGAGAGGUGAGUGGAACUGCGAGUGUAGAGGUGAAAUUCGUAGAUAUUCGCAAGAACACCAGUGGCGAAGGCGGCUCACUGGCCCGAUACUGACGCUGAGGCACGA